rnacentral:rRNA from 1 species
GACGAACGCUGGCGGCGUGCCUAAUACAUGCAAGUCGAGCGGACGGAUGGGAGCUUGCUCCCAGCCCGUCAGCGGCGGACGGGUGCGUAACACUUGGGCAACCUUCCUGUAAGACUGGGAUAACUCCGGGAAACCGGGGCUAAUACCGGAUAACUCUUUCCCUCUCAUGAGGGCACGCUGUGAGAUGGCUUCUCGCUAUCACUUACAGCUGGGCCCGCGGCGCAUUAGCUAGUUGGUGAGGUAACGGCUCACCAAGGCGACGAUGCGUAGCCGACCUGAGAGGGAGAUCGGACACACUGGGACUGAGAAACGGCACAGACUCCGACGGGAGGCAGCAGUAGGGAAUCUUCCGCAAUGGACGAAAGUCUGACAGAGCAACGCCGCGUGAGUGAUGAAGGUGUACGGAUCGGAAAACGAUGUAGGCAGGGAAGAACAAGUACCGGAGUAACUGCCGGUACAAUGACGGUACCUGAACAGAAAGCCACGGCUAACUACGUG